UACGUAGGGGGCGAGCGUUGUCCGGAAUUAUUGGGCGUAAAGGGUGCGUAGGCGGCCCUGUAAGUCAGAUGUGAAAUCCCUCGGCUUAACCGAGGUAAGCAUUUGAAACUGCAGGGCUUGAGUGCAGGAGAGGAAAGUGGAAUUCCUAGUGUAGCGGUGAAAUGCGUAGAUAUUAGGAGGAACACCAGUGGCGAAGGCGACUUUCUGGACUGUAACUGACGCUGAGGCACGAAAGCGUGGGGAGCGAACAGGAUUAGAUACCCUGGUAGUCCACGCUGUAAACGAUGAGUGCUAGGUGUUGGGGGAGACAUCCUUCAGUGCCGCAGUUAACACAAUAAGCACUCCGCCUGGGGAGUACGGUCGCAAGACUGAA
rnacentral:rRNA from 1 species